GAGUAACUAGGACCAUCUUAGAGUGAGCUAAGUGCCUCAGGCGAGAUAAUGCAGAGGUGGGGGACAGAGUGGGUGGGGAGGGGAGCCGCCAUACAGUGGCCAGGACCAGCUUUGCCCAAGUGGUGGCAACCGCAUGACCACAGGAACGAUGGCGUGAGCCCCGUGGCAACCUGGAGGAAGGGCCAAGCCACUGGUGAAUAUGCUGCAAAAAAUAUGCUGGAACUUCUAUGAAUACCACAGGGUGUGAGAAGAAAACAUUAGAACUUCUAUUUUGUACCUGUGUUACUCCACAACAAGAAAGCAAUCAGCUUGAUCAAUGCCUACUGUAAAGACGGCACCGCCCUCCGGAGGUCCUUUCUCAGCCCUGGUGUUCGGACAGCCACAUCCCCUCGCAGCAGGGGGAGGCCUGAAGCAUAGAGGGGCCCAUGCAGGUCUAUUCUGUUUCAGCGAAUUGCCUGGGAAAUAAUCCAGGAUCCAUUUCGUGUGGUCAUCUUGUCUCCCUGGUCCCCUCCAGCCUUUCCUCAUCUUUUGUGACCUGGUCACUCUGGAAGGGCGCUGGCCAGUUAGUCCACAGGAUGGGCCUCCCCUGGGGCUUUUCUGAUGCUUCCUUAUGAUGGCACUGGCAUCCUGAGGGGGAGGACCACAGAGAGGAGGUGCUCCUCAUCACACCACAUGGGGGUCCAUGCACCAGUGCCACUGCUUUCCAGGGCUCUUCACCUUCAUCACUGGUGGAGGUGGCGUCUGCCAAGAAGCAGAAAGUUGAGGCUUAGAAGGUGCACGGCCCUACCUCUUCCGAGGUGCCCCUGCGGGCUGUCUACAGACCAGGCAGCACAUGCCUGAUAGCAGCUGCAUAAGGAAAAGCAGGAGCCAGCUCGUGCACAGUGGCCUCAAGUGUGCACUGGGCAUGUUCUCUGCCUCACCAUCCCUGUGUGACAGAUGAAGCUUCAAGGACCACAGAGGGCCAAGUGCAGGAGUAAGAGGCUGGCGUGCUGACAGUGGCCAAGGGCAUUGGAGGGAAGGACCUGUCAUCACUGGGCCAAGGAAGGAACUCCAGACUGCCUACUUCCAGAGGGCCUGCUGAGGAAUUUUAGCUUGAACUUGCCUGCCUUGACUAGGGCUUUCUGAGCAGCAGAUGAUUCUGCAAUGGUGUUAGUCCAGGCCUGGUUCUGCAUGACAUUGACCAUACUGUGCACCCUGGGGUCAUUAUGUCUUGGGCUUCAAGGGGCUCCAUGGGCUCCAGGGGGCUCCAUGUGACACUGCACAGAGCUCUCUCUAGGUCACCUGGAUGUGUCUCUUCCUAGGAACCCCAAAGAGCUCUCUCAACAAACACACCCACGAGUUCCAGGAGUGAGGCUGCAGGGAACAGCCUCACUCUCAGAGGGGAUACAGAAUUGUUCCACUGGACAAGGGCUGGGAUCGUCAUAGGAUGCCGUUGGCCUGUGGUUUCCAACAGAGGUGCAGUUCAUUGAACUGUGGUCUACAGUCCAUUCUCUAACUUGGGGACCCUUGAAGAAGUGUGGAAUCAUGACAACAACCCUGUUGGGAGACACUAUUAUUCCCAUCACAUGGAUGAGCACACGGAGGCAAAAGGAAGUUAUAUGAUUGUCUGAGAUCACCCAGUGAAGACUGUGUGGCUGGGAGUUGUCCCCAGUGUUAUCUGCACGCUGCUUCCUUUUGAUGCCUGGCCCUUCUUUAUCAAAAGAAGCAUUGGCAGAAUCUGGGUGUUUAUGGGUCAGCUCAAAAUAAAUUACUUUAUAUGUCAUUCAUAUUGUUCUUCAUUUCCUGGACAGUAGAAGUCCCCUCCACACCCACUUUCUGUUGUUAGAAGGGGCUUGUCUCAUUGUGAAGAGGUCUUUUCCUCCCGGCUUCCUGGGCUGAUGUAAAUACCCAGAAGAGAACUCCUCCCUUGUCUGGCAGACCAUUGAGGGUGGGAGAGUCGGGUCUGGACCCUGGCGGGUACAGUGGGAUAGAGAGUGGCAGCUGUGAGGCCUUGUCCUCUUCCUGGAGAUGCUUCUUGUGUAGGCCUGGCUUCCAGGGGGCCAGGUGCUGCAGGCCGAAGGCGGAGCUGCCUUGAGCCCCCAGACCAGGCUGAGUCUGCUCUGAGCUGAGUCUAUGCCAUUCAGAGGUUGGCUGGUAUACAAACAGCUCCCGGCUCAGGGACAGUCCCAGGGCCCAGCCCAGAGGCUUUCUUAGCCGGGCUGUCUUCUGAGGGGCCUAUCUGCCAGGACACUCAGUGUAGCAAGCUCCAGCAAGAGGACACUUUCUCACCACCCAGGGGAAGGGGGCCUUGGGUUGACACAAAUAAAUCUUACAUUUAUCAGCAAAAUGUGCAUUAUUUUCUUAUUGUUCGAAAACAAUUUAGCUGGUAACUAUUCUGCCAUUUUGCUUAUGAAAACAUUUAAAACAGAGAAGAAUGGGAGGACUAAUUGGAAGAAAUCGGAAUGACUUGCACCUGGAUUCAAUAAUAGUUAAAAUUUUUG
rnacentral:lncRNA from 1 species